rnacentral:rRNA from 1 species
UACGUACGGUCCGAGCGUUGUCCGGAAUUAUUGGGCGUAAAGCGCGCGCAGGUGGUUUAAUAAGUCUGAUGUAAAAGCCCACGGCUCAACCGUGGAAGGUCAUUGGAAACUGGGGAACUUGAGUGCAGAAGAGGAGAGUGGAAUUCCAUGUGUAGCGGUGAAAUGCGUAGAUAUAUGGAGGAACACCGGUGGCGAAAGCGGCUCUCUGGUCUGUAACUGACGCUGAGGCUCGAAAGCGUGGGGAGCGAACAGG